rnacentral:rRNA from 1 species
UACAGAGGGUGCAAACGUUGCUCGGAGUUACUGGGCGUAAAGCGCGUGUAGGCGGUGCCGCACGUCCGGUGUGAAAGCCCAGGGCUCAACCCUGGAAGUGCACUGGAUACGACGGCGCUGGAGUCCUGAAGAGGAGGGCGGAAUUCCCGGUGUAGAGGUGAAAUUCGUAGAUAUCGGGAGGAACACCAGUGGCGAAGGCGGCUCUCUGGACAGGUACUGACGCUGAGACGCGAAAGCGUGGGUAGCAAACAGG